rnacentral:tRNA from 1 species
GCAGGCGUGCUGGAAUAGGCAGACAGGCAUGUUUGAGGGGCAUGUGUUUAUAUAGACGUGUGGGUUCAAGUCCCAUCGCCUGCACCA